rnacentral:rRNA from 1 species
GACGAACCACCCAAACGUUAUUCGGAAUUACUGGGCUUAAAGAGUGCGUAGGCGGCCUGGAAAGUAAGGUGUGAAAUCCCACAGCUCAACUGUGGAACUGCGCUUUAAACUUCCCGGCUAGAGGGAUAUAGAGGUGAGCAGAACAGAUGGUGGAGCGGUGAAAUGCGUAGAGAUGUGGAGGAACACCGAUGGCGAAGGCAGCCUUCUGGGCCAACACUGACGCUCAUGCACGAAAGCGUGGGGAGCAAACAGG